AGUGAACGCUGGCGGUAGGCCUAACACAUGCAAGUCGAACGGCAGCACAGUAAGAGCUUGCUCUUACGGGUGGCGAGUGGCGGACGGGUGAGGAAUACAUCGGAAUCUACUUUUUCGUGGGGGAUAACGUAGGGAAACUUACGCUAAUACCGCAUACGACCUACGGGAGAAAGCAGGGGAUCUUCGGACCUUGCGCGAUUGAAUGAGCCGAUGUCGGAUUAGCUAGUUGGCGGGGUAAAGGCCCACCAGGGCGACGAUCCGUAGCUGGUCUGAGAGGAUGAUCCGCCACACUGGCACUGAGACGCGGUCCAGCCUCCUACGGGAGGCAGCCGUGGGGAAUAUUGGACACUGGGCGCAAGCCUGCUCCAGCCAUCCCGCGUGGGUUAAGAAGGCCUUCUGGUUGUACAGCCCUUUUGUUGGGAAAGAAAAGCAGCAGGUUAAUACCCCGCUGUUCUGACGGUACCCAAAGAAUAAGCACCGGCUAACUUCGUG
rnacentral:rRNA from 1 species